ACCAAGGAGUCUAACAUGUGCGCAAGUCAUUGGGUUUUAAAACCUAAAGGCGUAACAAAAGUAAAAUUUAUAAUUAAUGGCUCCUUAAUUGGAGUAUUUCUAAAGUUAAUUAUAAAUAAGGGAGGAUAGUUUAGUUUCCUUUUAAAAAUUUUAAUUUUUUUAAGGGGCUAGCUCGCACUCCCGGGGCGUCUUACACUCAUUGCGAGUAAAGGCGCACCAAGAGCGUACACGUUGGGACCCGAAAGAUGGUGAACUAUGCAAGGCCAGGAUGAAGCCAGGGGAAACCCUGGUGGAGGUCCGUAGCGAUUCUGACGUGCAAAUCGAUCGUCAGAGUUUUGUAUAGGGGCGAAAGACCAAUCGAACUAUCUAGUAGCUGGUUCCCUCCGAAGUUUCCCUCAGGAUAGCUGGUGCUAAUGAUGACAAGAGUCUCAUCUGGUAAAGCGAAUGAUUAGAGGGCUUGGGGCCGAAACGACCUCAACCUAUUCUCAAACUUUAAAUGGAUGAGAGCCUUGGCUUGCUUAAAUAUAUUAAAGUAAUAGCUCUUGUAGUUAUUAUUGUUUUUGUGAAGCCAGGGACUUUGGAUCAAAGUACCAAGUGGGCCAUUUUUGGUAAGCAGAACUGGCGA
rnacentral:rRNA from 1 species